GAUGAGCCUGAUUCGUAUUUAGCGGCUUAAAUUCGCGCUUAGUGCCAGCAGCAGCGGUAAUACGAAGAGCGCUAGCGUUGCUCGUAAUUACUGGGCGUAAAGGGCGCGUAGGCCGACAGUUAAGUUGGGGGUGAAAGCCCGGGGCUCAACCUCGGAAUUGCCUUCUAUACUGGCCGUCUAUAUAAAGGGAGAGGUGAGUGGAACUCCGAGUGUAGAGGUGAAAUUCGUAGAUAUUCGGAAGAACACCAGUGGCGAAGGCGACUCACUGGCCCGUUACUGACGCUGAGGCGAGAAAGCGUGGGGAGCAAACAGGAUAAGAUACCCUGGUAGUCCACGCCGUAAACGAUGAGUGCUAGUUGUCGGCAUGCAUGCAUGUCGGUGACGCAGCUAACGCAUUAAGCACUCCGCGUGGGGAGUACGGUCGCAAGAUUAACACUCAAAGUAUUUGACGGGCGCCCGCACAAGCGGUGGAGCAUGUGUUUUAUUUCGAAGCAACGCGCAGAACCUUACCACUUUUUGACAUGCCCGGACCGCCACAGAGAUGUGUCUUUCUCUUCGGGGACUGGGACACAGGUGCUGCAUGGCUGUCGUCAGCUCGUGUCGUGAGAUGUUGGGUUAAGUCCCGCAACGAGCGCAACCCUCGCUGUUAGUUGCUACCAGGUUUGGCUGGGCACUCUAACAGGACCGCCGGUGAUAAGCCGGAGGAAGGUGAGGAUGACGUCAAGUCCUCAUGCUCAUUACAGGGUGGGCUACCACGUGCUACGAUGACGACUACAGAGGGCUGCAAUCCCGCGAGGGGAGCCAAUCACUAAAGUCGUCUCAGUUCGAUUGCACUCUGCACUCGAGUGCAUGAGUAGCAUCGCUAGUAUCGCGAUCAGCAUGCGGGGUGAAUACGUUCGCGGUCUUGCACUCCACCGCCCGUCAGGGCGAUUCGUUU
rnacentral:rRNA from 1 species